AGCACCACCCGCGGGACCAAAUGCUGAAGCUGGGAGCGGCGACAGGGAAGCGCUGGCUCCCAGAAUGGAGGUAACGGCUGCUGCGGCCUGGGAGGCUUACCCGGAAUUAAGGGCGAGGCGAGGAGAUCCGAAGGAAAAGGAAAGCUUCACCCCAAGUUACCCAUUUGCCUCUUUAGGCUGGGUUGCCAGAGCCCUUGGCCUGGGAGAAGGACUUUUAAGUAAAUUGUGCCACAGUUCAACCAGUUGCUUGCUCAUGUCAGACAUCUGAGAGUCAAGAAAUUUUUCUCACUAAACUUCCUGCUCCACACCAUUUAGUGGAAAGAGAGGAAUCAGAAAGCUAGAAGGUUAAAAAAGUGUGGUCUAGUGUGGGCCACCAAACCCACAAGUAUCAUAAGUAACUACCACUUUUUUAGCUGGCAAUGAAUUUGUCACUGUCUCAAGCACUUCAUAUACAUUAUGUCAUUUUAUCUUCACAAAACUCUGUGAGUGUUCUCUCCCCAUUUUAUAUUUGAGUUAACGAUUUUGGGCUGGGCGCAGUGGCUCACACCUGUAAUCCCAGCACUGUGG
rnacentral:lncRNA from 1 species